rnacentral:rRNA from 1 species
GAUUACGGCCAUACCACACUGACAACGUCCGAUCUCGUCUGAUCUCGGAAUCUAAGCAGAGUUGGGCUGGGUCAGUACUUAGAUGGGUGAGCGCCUGCAAUACCCAGGGUGCUGUAAGCA